rnacentral:lncRNA from 13 species
AUCUUCUGAACGUCGCUUUCCCUUAUGUGUACACUCUGUCUCUUACAGGUUCUGUUUGUAAUUGCAGAGAAAGUUGGAUAUCUAUUGCCUUAGCACUGAGCAAUGAGUGUAUGAAAUCAACGAGUGAAGUGAGAAGUGACGAGCCAACAGUAUGAUUGAUCUGAAGGAAAAGACUCUUCUGAAUGAAACCAACACCAUGCUUGAGAGCAUCAGAGAGGUUGAACUUGAAUCUGAGGAAGUAUAAAUGGGAACACUCACACACGUUCAGUCAUAAUGUCAACAUUUUCAGAAACAAAAGCUGUUGGAAGUAGUAUAGAGGAAGGUACAAACAGC